UCUACACAUUCAGCCAGUGUCUUAUAUCCACAGCCUUACUCUUUAUUCCUCUGCACGGCGGGCAGUAGAAAGAUGGUCUGUGAAGACAUAUUAUCUGGUUUCAAAUUCCAAUGGCUUCUUAAUUAGCCACAUUAGAAUAUUAGAGAAAGUAAUUUUGUCUCCAAGUGGAGGCUUCACAUUUCUAUAAUGUCUAUCUUGAAAAAUGAAAUAAAGGAGAUGAAUGAAUUAAAAAAAACAACACAAUUUAAUACAAUGUGAUACCAAGCAGCUGUCCCGAUGAUUUGUUUCCUCCCACUUUUCUUUUUAUGGAAGCUAGCUAGUCCUAUUUCCCCAACUAUAAUAAUAUUUUCCCCCCUUAUCCACAAUUUCCUUUUUUUUUGGUGUGGUUUCAAUUACCCAUAGUCAACCAUAGUCCAAAAAUACUGCAUGGAAAAUUCCAGAAAUAAAUAAUUCGUAAGUUUUAAAUUGCCCCCCCUCCCAUUCUGAACACGAGCACUAUGAAACUAUGGCAGUCAACCUGAGUGCUAAAAUGGCUCUCUGCCACUGCUGUCCCCAAGAGCUUCCCUAUACAGAAUUUCUCCCCAUCCACACCCAGGGCCUGAAAGCUCGCCCCUUCUUUUCAUUCUACUUAUGUUCCUAUGCCCUCUCUGGGUCCCUGUGGCUCCCCUCGCCCUAGCAUGGAUACCUACUUUGCUAUGUCUCAUCCUAAUGGCUUCAGGGAAGAAAGAAACAGAGGAGAGAUUUCUCCUCACUGAUACCCCUGACAUAAAUCCUGUCUUCUGAGUUCUCCCAGAAUAAACACUAUCAAUUCAUACUGAAGUUUUUGUGGUUAGUUAUCAUGUCCUAUAUCUUAUUUAUACUGUAAUUCCUUAAAUGACACAAUUUCAAAUAUCCUCCUUCAUUUCUCAAAAAGUAAAAUUUUAUUUCCUCCAUUCUAAUGGAUCUCAUUGGGCAAGAGAAAGGAAGUAACUGGACUAAGCCAGUUUGCACUGGUGUGCCUGAGACAUAUGUAGGUUUCUAGGAAGAUUCAUAUCAACCUAAUUCAAUCUCUGACAGGAAGAAUUUGGGGCAACAUAAGAGAGGAAUGAAAAUAGUACAAUGUGGGGGGAGGAACAUUUUUGAGCAAUGGAAGCUGUUAGCAACAUGGUCAGCCCACUCACUCAGUGUGAGUAGAAAGAAGAAAAGCAAGCCUGGAAAGCUCAGGCCAGAGAGUAGCUGGGAAAGUGCCAUUUCCAAAUGAGAGACAUCUCCACUUGAACAAGGUCUGCUCACAUUCUGCCUCUUUCAUCGCAUGUUUUACCCACUCCCAAUCCCAACCUUCCCUUUCUGAAUUAUCUCUGAACUAUAAUAUAUACACAUAUGCAACUAUUAUAUUGUCAUUGAUUCUUUUUUUUUUAAAGUAUGUUGAUUCCUUCUCUCCAGGGAGGCCUUAAAAUGGUGAGCUGUCUGUACUAUUUAUUUGGGACCAGUCAUAUUUCACUUUACAUUGAUUCACUUAUGAAUGUAUCCUUUACUUCAAAUUAAGCUACUUUUCAAAAGUGACUUUAGAAAGUAAACCACAUUAAAGUAUUCAACAUUGUGCUAACACAUAGCAAGAAUUCAAGUCAUGAUUAGCUUUUUGAAAGCCAUAUAAAUCUGUAAUUAAGAAAAUUAUACACCAUAGUACUGGGGAUUGAAAAUCCAGGGCCUUAAGUGCACAUUCCUUGAACCAUGCCUCUAGCCCUUUUGCUUUUGUUUUUGAGAUCUGGGUCUUUCUAACUUUGCCAAAGCCAACCUGGAGCUCACAAUUCUCUUGGCUCCAUCUUCUAUGGAGCUAAAAUUAUAGGCAUGCACCACCAUGCAUGGCUUAAAUCUGUAUUUA